rnacentral:rRNA from 1 species
CCUACGGGAGGCAGCAGUGGGGAAUAUUGCGCAAUGGGCGAAAGCCUGACGCUGCGACGCCGCGUGAGGGAUGGAGGUCUUCGGAUCGUACACCUCUGUCAGCAGGGAAGAACGGUCACUGUGCUAAUCAGCAGUGAAUUGACGGUACCUGCAAAGGAAGCACCGGCUAACUCCGUGCCAGCAGCCGCGGUAAUACGGAGGGUGCGAGCGUUAAUCGGAAUUACUGGGCGUAAAGCGCUCGUAGGCGGUAUGUCAAGUCAAGGGUGAAAUCCCCGCGCUCAACGUGGGAACUGCCUUUGAAACUGGGAAACUGGAGUGUGUGAGAGGAUAGUGGAAUUCCAGGUGUAGGAGUGAAAUCCGUAGAUAUCUGGAGGAACAGCAGUGGCGAAGGCGACUAUCUGGCACAUAACUGACGCUGAGGAGCGAAAGCGUGGGUAGCAAACAGGAUUAGAUACUCUUGUAGUC